UAGGGAAUAGUUCAAUGGUAGAACAGCGGACACUGACUCCGUCGAUCUUAGUUCGAAUCCAGGUUCCCCAGCCA
rnacentral:tRNA from 1 species